AUUGAACGCUGGCGGCAUGCCUUACACAUGCAAGUCGAACGGCAGCACGGGGCAACCUGGUGGCGAGUGGCGAACGGGUGAGUAAUGCAUCGGAACGUGCCAUUGAGUGGGGGAUAACGUAGCGAAAGUUGCGCUAAUACCGCAUAUUCUGUGAGCAGGAAAGCAGGGGACCGCAAGGCCUUGCGCUCUUUGAGCGGCCGAUGUCAGAUUAGCUAGUUGGUGAGGUAACGGCUUACCAAGGCGACGAUCUGUAGCGGGUCUGAGAGGAUGAUCCGCCACACUGGAACUGAGACACGGUCCAGACUCCUACGGGAGGCAGCAGUGGGAAUUUUGGACAAUGGGCGCAAGCCUGAUCCAGCCAUGCCGCGUGAGUGAAGAAGGCCUCGGUGUAAG
rnacentral:rRNA from 1 species